rnacentral:pre_miRNA from 11 species
UCUUGGCCAUGGUCGUGGUCAUGGUCGUGAUCAUGGCCAUGGUCGUGGUCAUGGUCGUGAUCAUGGCCAUGGUCGUGGUCAUGGCCAUGGUCGUGG